rnacentral:lncRNA from 1 species
UUACAUCACGUCUCAAACUUUCUGCUGGCUGUCGUAAAUAUGGUUUGGGAAACUUGUUUUCGCGUAAAAAUUUAAAAUAUAUCCGUGUGGAAUAGUCCAAAUAUAGAUAUAAAUGGGACAUGUGGUUAAGCUGUGUUCAUGUGGUCUAUUAAAGAAUGGUUUUAAAGAAGUUGUCAGUUGAUGCCUACACCAUCUGCUUGGGUUGAAGUGGAGCAAGCCAAAAAUGAAUAAAAAUGGACAAAUAUACUGUUGGCAGCAAUUGAGUUAGAAACACACCAGGAAUCAUCCGUCUUCGGCUAGCAAGGAAAAUAAAGACAAACAACUUGAUCUGGCUAAAUGAUAAAAGAAUGUGUAAGGCAGAGCAGAGCAGCAAAGAUAGUGAAAAGGAAUGCUAUGUGCAAACAGAUGAAGGAUGAAAUUAUGAAAAAAUGGCAUGCAAAGGAAAAAUAAUAAUUGAACUUGAUAAGUGUUCUUCUUUAAAUGUUAGCCAAAUUGUUUUUUUUAAUUGUAUACGUAAAUAUGUGUAUGUAUUUAAAAUGAUUAAC